rnacentral:rRNA from 1 species
GACGAACGCUGGCGGCGUGCUUAACACAUGCAAGUCGAACGGAAAGGCCCUGCUUUUGUGGGGUGCUCGAGUGGCGAACGGGGGAGUAACACGUGAGGAACCUGCCCUUGACUUUGGGGUAACUUCAGGAAACUGGGGCUAAUACCGGAUAGGAGCUCCUGCUGCAUGGUGGGGGUUGGAAAGUUUCGGCGGUUGGGGAUGGACUCGCGGCUUAUCAUCUUGUUGGUGGGGUAGUGGCUUACCAGGGCUUUGACGGGUAGCCGGCCUGAGAGGGUGACCGGCCACAUUGGGACUGAGAUACGGCCCAGACUCCUACGGGAGGCAGCAGUGGGGAAUAUUGCACAAUGGGCGGAAGCCUGAUGCAGCAACGCCGCGUGCGGGAUGACGGCCUUCGGGUUGUAAACCGCUUUCGCCUGUGACGAAGCGUGAGUGACGGUAAUGGGUAAAGAAGCACCGGCUAAAUACGUG